CUCUGUGUCUCUCCAGGCUUCUUGAGACAGCAGAUGCUGGCACUGUGGUGUUGGAGGUAGCUGCUGGUAGUGGCUGGGCUCCAGACGCAUUUCUAGGGAGACUGGCUGUUCAAGGCAGUGGCCAGCCACCUAUUACCUCCUGCUUGAAAGCUGUUUAGGUUCCCAUUUAUUUCUCUGAACUUCCCUCACAAAAUGGCCUUCUAAAGCUAUGGCAAGUUCACUCUGGAAUGCAUGACUGGGGAACCCAUCUCAUCUUUCACUUCAGUUUACCCUCUAAUGGGACAAGCAGCCGCAGCUGAAGCCUCAGCAUUGUCACCAACAUCACCACCAGCAACACCAGCAACAGCCGCAGCACCAGCAACACCAGCAACACCAGCAACACCAGCAACACCAGCAACAGCCGCAGCACCAGCAUCAGCCAAACAGCAGCAGCAGCAGCAGCAGUAGUAGUAGUAGCAGCAGCAGCAGUAGCAGCAGCAGCAGCAGUUGCUGCAGCAGGCGUACUGCCAGUGGCAGCAGCCCCCCCACCAACCAUAACACCACCAACCAUAACACCGCCAACUGUCACAGCAACACCGCCAACCACAGCACCGCCAACAGUCACAGCAACACCGCCAACCACAGCACCGCCAACUGUCACAGCAACACCGCCAACCACAGCACCGCCAACAGUCACAGCAACGCCACUAGCAGCUGUGGCAUCACCACCAGCAGUGGCAUUACCAGCAGGAGCCGCGGCUUCCGCAGCCCUCCAUAGGGAUGAUUUCUCAAGAGUCCACUGCUGCGUUUCCUGAGUCUUACAGGCCACGUGUGCUUCUUUUAUAAAAGAUUCCUUGCCUGAGCGUCUCCCCAGCGCCCAGCGAAGAUGAGCUCAUCCUUUGAACUUGGCAGGCAAGAAGCAUUCCGAUCUGGUUCAGUACAGGCACAGAAAGGUGAUUGUUAAACACAAGUUAUCCAGUCAGCAAUCAAAAGAGCCAGUCCUUUCUUCCCCAGAAGAUGCUGGCCAACUUCUGGAGAAGUUUCUGCUGGCAGUGUUUGCCUAGACCCACAGAUCUUGGCUUCAAUCAGAGGCUGUAAGAGCUGGUUAAUUUUGAGGGCCUCUAUGGAGGAAAGGGGGACCCAAGAGAAGCAGACUAACAUGAAAACAGAAAUGUAGGACAGAGGAAACCAAAUCAGACAAGUUGCUGGAACCCAGAGAAUGGAAAAGCAGAGUUUGGAGGAGAGCAAGGCGCUCAGCGACUGGAAUGAGGGUGUGCCUAUCCUGCUUAGGUGGGGGUGGGGACUGAGCAGAUGAGAGUGAAGGGCUUGGGCCAGUUCUACAGGAUCAGAGCAAGAAAGCAAACAGCUGGACAAAUAUGGGGCUGAAUGCUUAGUGAAAGGGGCCCAGGGUUACAAACAAAAGCACCCAUCGAAUUGAAUGGAAAGAUGUCAAAAAAGCUUUUCCUGUAA